rnacentral:tRNA from 1 species
ACCAGAAGGGCCACGUGGUUUACGGUGUUGGACCUAAGAUCCAAUGGACUUAUAUCCUUGUGGGUUCGAACCCCACUUCUGGAG